GACGAACGCUGGCGGCGUGCCUAAUACAUGCAAGUAGAACGCUGAAGGAAGGAGCUUGCUCUUUCCGGAUGAGUUGCGAACGGGUGAGUAACGCGUAGGUAACCUGCCUGGUAGCGGGGGAUAACUAUUGGAAACGAUAGCUAAUACCGCAUAAUAGCAGUUAUUGCAUGAUAACUGUUUGAAAGGUGCAAAUGCAUCACUACCAGAUGGACCUGCGUUGUAUUAGCUAGUUGGUGGGGUAACGGCUCACCAAGGCGACGAUACAUAGCCGACCUGAGAGGGUGAUCGGCCACACUGGGACUGAGACACGGCCCAGACUCCUACGGGAGGCAGCAGUAGGGAAUCUUCGGCAAUGGACGGAAGUCUGACCGAGCAACGCCGCGUGAGUGAAGAAGGUUUUCGGAUCGUAAAGCUCUGUUGUAAGAGAAGAACGAGUGUGAGAGUGGAAAGUCACACUGUGACG
rnacentral:rRNA from 1 species